AUGGCGGGGGGGGGGGGUAGUUUUCUUUUUCAGCGUUUAUUAGAAACAAAAACGGGGAAAAAAAGGGGUUGUGGUGUCUGUGUUUUUCCUUUUUUUUUCUUUUUUCCUCCUUUUCUUAGAAAGAUCGUGGCGGCCGGCGGCAGCGGUGCGGGCUGGGAGGGAGGUCCUUACCUGCUGGGGGUGCCAAGCCCCCACCGCUUCCGUCCUUUACUGAGGUGCCCCUGGAGCAGCCCCGCUGGGGGCAGCGCUAUCUCUGCGAGGCACCCCCCCACAUCCCACCCCACCCUGGGGCAGGCAGCUGGGUCCUGGCGGGGCCACGCGUUAAGGCAACCGUCCUGCUGUGCCCCGCCGUGCCGUGCCGGGGGGGCUCCCUGCCGGAGUGGGGCCACUAUCGCUACGGGCUAUAUGUACACACCCCGCAGCCGAGGGGGGGCUGCCCCGGGGCUGUUUGUGCUAAGUGAUGGGUCCCACCCCCCCCAACCACAUCAGGCAGGGCUGGGGGGGGGAGCGUCCGUGCGAGCCGGCGGCGCGGCUCUAGGAGUCCUUGAGCAUGCUGAUGCGGGCGUAGAUCUUGAGGGCCGGCCCCAGUUUGAUGUUCAUGGUGCUCAUCAGGUGGUCCUCCUUCAGCAGCAGCAGCGCCUGCCCAUCGAUCUCCUGCGCACGGAACUCCUCUGCGAUCUCCUGGCAGCCUACGGGGAGGGGAACACAACACAGUCACACUCGGCACGGCCCUGAAGCUGACACAGCCUCCCCGGCACGACCUGACGCUCCUCACCUGGCAGCGAGCGGAUGAACUCGUAGACGUCCUCCACGUUCCACUUGCUGGGCUCACUGGGCAGGAAGCGGUGCCCGAUGCCCGCCAGCUCCCGCACGUGCAUGUCGGGCAGCUCCAUGUCGCGCAGCUCCAGGUCACGCUCAGCCUGGCGCCGGCGGGAGGCGGACGAGCUGGCCGAGAUGGGAGACAGCGGCUCCUCGUAGCUCGAGUUGUCCGAGCAGCGGCUCGAGUCCUCCUGGCUGUGGUUGAGCUGCAGCGACGCUGUCACCGAGAGCGGCCCCGAACCCGGCGGGAGGGACACCGGCGUCUGCGGGACGGAGCCACCGGGCAGCACCGGCCCCGCGGCUCGCUGCGUCCCCUGGGUUGGACCCACGCCCCCCCUCACCUGCUUCUUGGUGUCCUUGCUGAGCGUGGGCACUUUGCAGGCACGGCGACGGCCGUGGGGGGGGCCUCCGGGCUUCUGCAGCUUGCUGCGGUCGGGAUGGAACAGCCCCACGCGCUUGGUGCAGCCCACGUUGUACCUGCAGGCAGCAGCCGGGGGGGGGUGAGAGCGGGGCUGGGGUGGGGCUCAGGGCAGGGGGUCAGGCCCCGGUACCUCUUGGCACAUGCCAUGGAGCAGAAGCGCUUGGAGCGCUUGAACUUGUAGGCGAAGUCGACGCGGCCGCAGAGCUCGCACUUCAGCUUUGGGGGGGCCCCCUCAUCUUUGGACUCUGCCGAGAGAGCAGCGGGCAGCUGAGCCGAGGUGAGUCGAGUCCUCGCGGGGGUCCCUCCUCGGGGUCCCCCCCUCACCUUGCAAGUAGGGCUCCUCCAUCUCGGAGUCGGUGGUGGUGGUGUUGUCGUGCUGCGGGGCGCGCUCCGCCAGCAGCUCCUGCGCAUACUGCGGCUUCAGGCCCCCCACCAGCAGCGAGGAGCGCCCCACCUGCGGGCGGCGGCAUCAGCAGGGCCGGGGGACGGCGCGGG
rnacentral:lncRNA from 1 species